UUCUUUUUUGCCAUGCAGAAAUAUUUGUUUCUCAUCUGGUAGAAUAAAUCAAUUACAUUAUUUUAUUUAUGGCCUCAGUGUUUUGUAACAUAAUCAAAAAGUUCACCCCUCUCCAAGAUUACAAAUCUUUUCAUCCUGUUCAAUAUUUUUAUGGCUUCCACCUUUGAGCCACAGGCUCCCUCUGGAAUUUAUUUUGGUGAAAGUAAGAGACGGGCAUUCACUUUUAUUGUUUUCUAGAUGGCUAGCCAGUUGUCCCAGCACUAGGUGUUGAAUGACCCAUCUUUUCCCUACAGGUUGAGAUGUCAUCUUCACCACCUUGUAAAUUCCACGUCUCUGGUGGUCCUGUGCUUUGAAUGUCCACCUAAUCACCUCUGGCCUCACAGCAAGCCAGGUGGACCAGCGAGAUGUUUCUGCUCCCAGCCGCAGGGUGGGCCUCCAAUCCUAGAAAGGCGGUUUCAGGCACCAGAGUGGGCCAGUGCAUCUCCAUAAAGCCACAUCCCCAAGAUGGACACCAGCAUUCAUGGGUGAGCAGCUACUUUGUGCCAGGACCUCAGAUAAGCCAGGCUGGGAAGAUGUUGGUCCACUGCUGAGACCAGGGCCCAGCACGCAGGGCAGAUGGUCCCAGGCAAAGCUGAGCUGAAGAGAAGCCCCCUGCACAUCCGGUGGCCAGCAACAGGUGCUUUAUCACGGCACCGGGGCAAGAAGGCCCCGCUGUACACCCGGAGGCAGAGAUCUGGCCAUAUGUGCAUGCCCGCAGUGGCCAGGCUCUGCCACCUGUCCGGCUCAGGCUCCAAUUCUGACUCAACACCUCUGAUGCCCAGUCUUCUCAACUAUAAAUCGAGUAACAUUAAGGCCGUCCCUGCUACUGUUUCUAGGUAUUUCACCAAUUUAAACCUCACGUUCACCCUUUGUAGAAGGUCACUUCUCCAUCGUAGAUUUCUGCACAUCCAGUGCCUCUAGGAUUUGAGGUAACAAGUCAAACUGCACAAGCUAACCCCUGAAAGGUGGAUCUUCACGUCUAUAAUCACAACACCCAGGUCUUGGAGGAGGGUCUAUAGCAACACCUGCAGCUCUCUACCCUCAGGCUCCACCAUCAGAGCCCUUGCUCAUUCUGUCACUCAACUAUGUUUUACAUCUCGUUCGAGUGCUGAUUAAACACAUGCACCUACAGUUGACCCUUGAACAACACAGAUAUGAAUUGUACAGGUCCACUUCUAUAGAAAUUUUUGCCAAUAAACAUUUCACAGAGUAUGCCUGCCUGUCCUGCCACGUCCUCUACCUCUUCUGCCUCUGCUACCCCUGAGACAGCAAGAGCACUCUCUCCUCAUCCUCUUCCUCCUCCUACCCAGCCUAC